UCUGCUUCACUUGCAGUCCAAGGAAGAAAUUCAGCUCACCCAUCAUGCUCAUUUCAAACUUGCUCUGCAUUAGCUUAGAGAAUCUCUUACAUAACUUUUCGUCAAUAGAACCAAAAAUGAUAUCAUCAACAUAUAUUUGAACUAGUAAGACUUUGUCUUUAUGCUUUCUAAGAAAUAGUGUGGUAUCUACUCUACCUCUAGU
rnacentral:lncRNA from 1 species